rnacentral:rRNA from 1 species
GACGAACGCUGGCGGCGUGCUUAACACAUGCAAGUCGAACGGAAAGGCCCUGCUUUUGUGGGGUGCUCGAGUGGCGAACGGGUGAGUAACACGUGAGUAACCUGCCCUUGACUUUGGGAUAACUUCAGGAAACUGGGGCUAAUACCGGAUAGGCGCUCCUGCUGCAUGGUGGGGGUUGGAAAGUUUCGGCGGUUGGGGAUGGACUCGCGGCUUAUCAGCUUGUUGGUGGGGUAGUGGCUUACCAAGGCUUUGACGGGUAGCCGGCCUGAGAGGGUGACCGGCCACAUUGGGACUGAGAUACGGCCCAGACUCCUACGGGAGGCAGCAGUGGGGAAUAUUGCACAAUGGGCGGAAGCCUGAUGCAGCAACGCCGCGUGCGGGAUGACGGCCUUCGGGUUGUAAACCGCUUUCGCCUGUGACGAAGCGUGAGUGACGGUAAUGGGUAAAGAAGCACCGGCUAACUACGUG